UACGUAGGGGUGCAAGCGUUGUCCGGAAUUAUUGGGCGUAAAGAGCUCGUAGGCGGUCUGUCGCGUCGGCUGUGAAAACUCGGGGCUCAACUCCGAGCUUGCAGUCGAUACGGGCAGGCUAGAGUUCGGCAGGGGAGACUGGAAUUCCUGGUGUAGGCGGUGAAAUGCGCAGAUAUCAGGAGGAACACCGGUGGCGAAGGGCGGGGUCUCUGGGCCGAUACUGACGCUGAGGAGCGAAAGCGUGGGGAGCGAACAGG
rnacentral:rRNA from 1 species